UGGUUGGGGGUGAUGAAGAAAAUCGUUCGGAUUCCCAUUGAUUUCUAAUCGAAAUGUGGUCUUUAAACCAGCUACUUCUGACUCAAAAAU
rnacentral:snoRNA from 1 species